UAAGAAAGAAACAGAAAAGAGUAAGGGAAAGGAGCAAGUGUAAGACCAAAAUUUUCCUAAAUAACUUUUAAUGAGUCUCAGACAUCUUUCCUCAUGCACUGUGGUGUAGUUGGGCUUGUUCUGUUUGAAGAGAACAUUGAGAGGUGAUUUAUAACAGGUAGAACAAAUCACAAGGAAUCUCGACAGAAGGGAAAGGGAGAAAUUGUUCUCAUUAGUGGAGAAAUCAAGACCCACAGAUUUAAGGCACUUUGUAAAAGGAGCAAAGGUUACAUGAGGAAAAUCCAGUUCAUCCAGCAAAUGUUAGGAUCUGCAAUACUCUGCCUGUGAGUGAUAGGUUCAGUCGAGACAUUCAGAGGAGAACUGUAUUAUUACCUCAAAAAGAAGAAUGUGUGCGCCAUGGGCAGAGGACGGAGAGCCAAAACAGAGAGAGUGAAUGAGUGAAGUUCAUCGCUGAUUGGUUUCCACUAGAUGCUAUCAACUUUGCAGAGGUAUUUGGAAGUUUGAAGUAUUUGAAGUUCCUAAGUCUACAGGGAGUGUUGUGGCACAUGCUGGAAGCCUUGGCUCUGAUUUCAAGGGUUCUACUGAGACCACUUGCAGGCAGCUCACAGCUCUGCAAAGCUCCACAAAGGGCCAUAUGAGUGAAAUUUGGGAUCUUCUUGUCUGUGGAAGAAUAGAAUGGUGAAAUUGACCAGAAAUUAAACAACACCGACAUGACUGCAAGUGCUUAUGAUGGAGAAGAAGAAAAACCCUAACAAGCCCAUGCCUUCCUGUAGUUGUAUCAAUGCCAGACCCUCCAACAAACUCUGCUGAUUGGAUGAAAGCCAGCAGAGCCUUGUCAUAUGCUUUCCUGACAUCUCCUAUCAACACGGAUAAUUAAAUACAAAGACUUGGCAAGGGAUAGAAGAUAUAAGAAAAUAAAUGUAUUCAAUGUAAAACAUAGAAAUCUAAAUGACUAAUUUGAGAAUUUAUAAAAAUUGUAAUCAAUGCUAGUAAUGGAGAAUUAAAGCUCAGGAAGCAGUGUUGUGUCAGGACUUUAGGACCCUGAAGCAAUCUUCUGAUGAUGUCAUAGAGGUGUUCUUCACAAGACCUAAGUAACACAUUGUGGAUGGAGUUAAGAAAGUAAGAGAGAAACUUAUGGAAAGAGUAGUCUUUCUACAGUGCAACAGCAAAGUUAAUACCUUGCAAAUUGUCUGAAUACCCUGUAUUCUAGAAUUUAGUUUUGGUAUAUAAUAGAGUAUUGUAAAUAAACCCAAGGCUGAAGACAGUUCUUGACCUUGCCUUCUCCUCAUUCAGCCUGUUUUGAACCCAAACCCUGAUGUGUGGGCAUAAAAUCACAUUAUUAAAAUGGCUUUCUAAUGUUAUUGCCCUCCCUGACUCUCAAUUGUUCUUAGGUCCUCCUUUAUUUAGCUAUCAGCUGCUGCAGUACUUGGUGAGUCCCUAAACUCCUAUUAACACACGUAUCCCAGUGACAUGAGCAAUUGCUGGGGUUUAAUGGAGAGCAUUUUGCGGUAGAUACUUUUAUUUACUUUGAUGUUGAGGAUAAUGCAGAUCCUUUGAGCGAGAUCAGCCACGUCAGAAAUUCAGUAUAUCUGAGUCCACUUCAAAAGACUUUGUUAGAUUUGAAUUUAUGAAAUGCUGGAUUUGUUGAAACCAUGACUGAAACAGCAACCAAAUCCUUAACUAAGCCUAAUGACGUUCUCUUAACUUAACAUUGUAAACUGUAGUGAUUAUUUAUAAUUCUGUGUCUAUUCUACAGGCUUACAAUGAUUAAAAGGAUCAUAAGCACAAAUGUAAUAAAUACAAGAGGAAUAUUUGCAUGGCUUGAGAUCAUGCUCUGAAGAAAUAACUGUACGUUCCAGAGUGAUUGCUGGAAUUCCAUCACAAACACAUUGCUGCAUAUUUCCAUAAUACAUAAGUACACAUACAGAUAUUGUCAUUUUUCCUAGCUGUGUGAACACAUAGCUUACACAAAUUGCAACUUAUGUACUUGAAACUGUACCGUGGUACUUCAGCCACUCAGCAUGAGAUUGCAUGCUGAACCUUAUCAUUCUAGUGAUCAAGGUCAAGCUGAUCUUUGAUGGUAAUUGGCAGCAGUAAGGGUUCCUGCAGGCUUUCAUAUAAAAUAUGGAAACAAGAAGCACCACUAAGGCAGUUAGCAAUUUUGAAAGUCAAUCCAU